CCUACGGGAGGCAGCAGUGAGGAAUAUUGGUCAAUGGGCGCGAGCCUGAACCAGCCAAGUAGCGUGAAGGAUGACUGCCCUACGGGUUGUAAACUUCUUUUAUAAAGGAAUAAAGUGAGGCACGUGUGCCGUUUUGUAUGUACUUUAUGAAUAAGGAUCGGAUAACUCCGUGCCAGCAGCCGCGGUAAUAAGUAGGAUCCGAGCGUUCUCCGGAUUUCUUGGGUUUAAAGGGAGCGUAGAUGGUUUGUUAAGUCAGUUGAGAAAGUUUGCGGCUAAACCGUAAAAUUGCAAUUGAAACUGGCAGUCUUGAGUACAGUUGAGGUAGGCGGAAUUCGUGGUGUAGCGGUGAAAUGCUUAGAUAUCACGAAGAACUCCGAUUGCGAAGGCAGCUUACUAAACUGCCACUGACAUUGAUGCUCGAAAGUGUGGGUAUCAAACAGGAUUAGAUACCCUUGUAGUC
rnacentral:rRNA from 1 species